rnacentral:rRNA from 1 species
GAUGAACGCUGGCGGCGUGCCUAAUACAUGCAAGUCGAGCGAACAGACGAGGAGCUUGCUCCUCUGACGUUAGCGGCGGACGGGUGAGUAACACGUGGAUAACCUACCUAUAAGACUGGGAUAACUUCGGGAAACCGGAGCUAAUACCGGAUAAUAUAUUGAACCGCAUGGUUCAAUAGUGAAAGACGGUUUUGCUGUCACUUAUAGAUGGAUCCGCGCCGCAUUAGCUAGUUGGUAAGGUAACGGCUUACCAAGGCAACGAUGCGUAGCCGACCUGAGAGGGUGAUCGGCGACACUGGAACUGAGACACGGUCAAGACUCCUACGGGAGGCAGCAGUAGGGAAUCGUCCGCAAUGGGCGAAAGCCUGACGGAGCAACGCCGCGUGAGUGAUGAAGGUCUUCGGAUCGUAAAACUCUGUUAUUAGGGAAGAACAAAUGUGUAAGUAACUAUGCACGUCUUGACGGUACCUAAUCAGAAAGCCACGGCUAACUACGUG